CCUACGGGAGGCAGCAGUAGGGAAUAUUGGGCAAUGGGCGAAAGCCUGACCCAGCGACGCCGCGUGAGGGAUGAAGGCCUUCGGAUUGUAAACCUCUUUCAGUAGGGAAGAAGCGAAAGUGACGGUACCUAAAGAAGAAGCACCGGCUAACUAUGUGCCAGCAGCCGCGGUAAUACAUAGGGUGCAAGCGUUGUCCGGAAUUAUUGGGCGUAAAGAGCUCGUAGGUCGUUUGUCGCGUCGAUUGUGAAAAUCUGAGGCUCAACCUCAGACCUGCAGUCGAUACGGGCAAACUAGAGUGUGGUAGGGGAGACUGGAAUUCCUGGUGUAGCGGUGGAAUGCGCAGAUAUCAGGAGGAACACCAAUGGCGAAGGCAGGUCUCUGGGCCAUAACUGACACUGAGGAGCGAAAGUGCGGGGAGCGAACAGGAUUAGAUACCCUGGUAGUCCGCACCGUAAACGGUGGGCACUAGUUGUGGGAACCUUCCACGGUUUCCGCGACGCAGCAAACGCAUUAAGUGCCCCGCCUGGGGAGUACGAUCGCAAGAUUAAAACUCAAAGGAAUUGACGG
rnacentral:rRNA from 1 species